rnacentral:rRNA from 1 species
GAUGAACGCUGGCGGCGUGCCUAAUACAUGCAAGUCGAGCGAACAGACGAGGAGCUUGCUCCUCUGACGUUAGCGGCGGACGGGUGAGUAACACGUGGAUAACCUACCUAUAAGACUGGGAUAACUUCGGGAAACCGGAGCUAAUACCGGAUAAUAUAUUGAACCGCAUGGUUCAAUAGUGAAAGACGGUUUUGCUGUCACUUAUAGAUGGAUCCGCGCCGCAUUAGCUAGUUGGUAAGGUAACGGCUUACCAAGGCAACGAUGCGUAGCCGACCUGAGAGGGUGGACCGCCACACUGGAACUGAGGCACGGACCAGAAUCCUACGGUGGGCAGCAGUAGGGAAUCUUCCGCAAAGGGCGGAAGCCUUAACGGGCAAAGUCGGGUGAGUGAUGAAGGUCCUCGGAUCGGUAAACUCUGUUAUUAGGGAAGAACAAAUGUGUAAGUAACUAUGCACGUCUUGACGGUACCUAAUCAGAAAGCCACGGCUAACUACGUG